rnacentral:lncRNA from 1 species
GGAACUUUGAGACAAUUGACUUUUUUUUACGCGGUCCGAGAAGUCGCGAGUGCUGUUGGUCAUUUUUAUUCUCUUAUAUGUUUUAGGGUUACUUAGCAUUGAUUUUAUUCAAGCGGAAGAUGACAUUUUCUUACCGUUGUUGCCUUCUUACUAUAUUCCCUUUUCCAAGGAGGUCUACUAUGAGAGACGUCGUUGGGGUUUCGUUUUGUGUGUGUGUUCGAUCUUCUUUGGAAGGAAGAAUCAUUCGUUAAAUGAAGAACAAACAACUUGGUCUUACUAAUGAAAGCCUUUGGUACAUUGAAAGUUCUCGAGUCGGUGGUGGUCGUCGCUUCCUGAAUGCAAAAUUCUGACAGUUUCAAGGUAUGUCAUUCUUUCAGUCUUCAAAAUUGGGGGUUAUCACAUCAGUGGGCUUUUAUAAAUUCGAGGAAGAUUGGUGAUAGGAAGCGAUAUCGAUUUGCUGAUUCUUGUUGAAGGAAUGAGUUUCUUGCCAUCCGUUGCCCAUUUAUUGAUAGAUAGCAGCGAGCGAACAUAUAUGAAGUGUCAUGGAAAGAACAAUUUAGUCUGGUUUUCGAAAUUCCAUUUAAUGUGGCGAUAUACACUCUUCGUGGAUCAAAUGCAAUUAAUCGGAGGAGUUAUCUACAGGGUGCUCUCUCUCCCUUAGCGCAUGCUUAUUAUCGGGAUCAUGCGGGUAAAAGCUUUUGAUAGAAGGUGUUAAAGGGCAGCGAUUUUAUAAUUUGAAUCAACCAUAUUACAGUGAAGGAAGAUAUCAUUCUCGUUAUUGAGAUAGCUGAUGGUCUUAUAAAAAAAUCGUGCUUUCUCCUGGUUGCUCUUUUGCCUUAGAUUAUGAGUUUGGUUUUUGUGCAAGUGAAAAUUAGAAAGUCCAACUUGGUUGUCAUGAUUGUGCUUUUUUCUUUUGUUCUGACUCUGUCAAUUCAGUAAAACUGUAAAGUCCUUAAAGGGAAUUGGUUAUGGCUUGUUGCCCUUCUGCCUUGCAUUAAGAUUUUGGCUAUGUCGAUUCACUAAGUGAAGAUGCUAAGGUCCUAUAAGGGAACCCUUAUAAUGCUGGACUGCUGGUUGCCCUUAUGCCUCGCACUAGGAUUCUAGCAGUGGAAAUUCUAAAACUAAACUGAGAAGGUAUUUAAAGAUAACAUUUGCCUCAGAUUAUUCUGCAAGUGAACCUUUUGUUCCAUCCGUCAAUUCAGUAAAACAGUAAGGUCCUAGAAGGGGACUAGUUAGUGCUUUCUUGUUGCCCUUCUGCCUUGCACUAAGAUUGUGGUUAUAUCGAUUCACUAAAACUGUAAGGUUCUAGAAGGGGACUAGUUAGUGCUUUCUUGUUGCCCUUCUGCCUUGCACUAAGAUUGUGGUUAUAUCGAUUCACUAAAACUGUAAGGUUCUAGAAGGGGACUAGUUAGUGCUUUCUUGUUGCCCUUCUGCCUUGCACUUAGAUUGUGGUUAUAUCGAUUCGCUAAGUAAGGACGGUAAGGUGCUAGAACGGGGCCUAUCUUAGUGUUGGUUGUGUUUCUUGCUUUCCAUAGGAUUCUAGUUGUGGGAAUGCUCCAACUAGACUCAGAUGGUAUUUAAAGAUGAGAUGAGGUUUGCCUCAGAAAAUUGGAAGGACCGAGAACGGGACUAGUUCGUGCUUGGUUGUUGCCCUUCUGCCUUGCACUAAGAUUGUGAUUAUAUCGAUUCUCUAAAACUGUAAGGUCCUAGAACGGGACUAGUUUGUGCUUGGUUGUUGCCCUUCUGCCUUGCACUAUGAUUGUGGUUAUAUCGAUUCUCUAACACUAUAAGGUCCUAGAAGGGGAC